UGUCUCCUGUCCUAGCAUCCUGCUGAAGCCUCAUCUGAAGCAAUCCUCUGUGGUGGAAACACUUUGAAGAGGAAAGCAGAUGGACUACACUGAACUGUCACCAAGUUUUGUGACGUCCAGAAGAGCAGGAUUAGUGCUGCAGGGUGCUGGUUCUUCAUCUCAGCACGGCUUCAUCUCUAUAGGAGUUCUUUCCAUACCUGCUGGAUGAGUCCUGUGGAAGAAUGGGAAGGGAAAUUCCAAAGCAACAUCUUUCAGGUGUUUUGAAACUGAGGAUCUGAUUGCAGCUGCUCUCCGCCAGGGAAGCUUUCUCUGCUUGGCAGCAGCAGCAGGCAAUGCUCUUUCAGGGAAAAGGGACUGAGAAACCCUGGAUUGAUUUGUCACAGAACCACCUUGCAGGUAGGUACCCAAGCCAACC